rnacentral:rRNA from 1 species
AGUCGAGCGCACCUUCGGGUGAGCGGCGGACGGGUUAGUAACGCGUGGGAACAUACCCUUUGGUACGGAAUAGCCUCUGGAAACGGAGAGUAAUACCGUAUGAGCCCUUCGGGGGAAAGAUUUAUCGCCAAAGGAUUGGCCCGCGUUAGAUUAGGUAGUUGGUGGGGUAAUGGCCUACCAAGCCUACGAUCUAUAGCUGGUUUUAGAGGAUGAUCAGCAACACUGGGACUGAGACACGGCCCAGACUCCUACGGGAGGCAGCAGUGGGGAAUCUUGGACAAUGGGGGCAACCCUGAUCCAGCCAUGCCGCGUGAGUGAUGAAGGCCUUAGGGUCGUAAAGCUCUUUCGCCUGUGAAGAUAAUGACGGUAGCAGGUAAAGAAACCCCGGCUAACUCCGUGCCAGCAGCCGCGGUAAUACGGAGGGGGUUAGCGUUGUUCGGAAUUACUGGGCGUAAAGCGCACGUAGGCGGACUGGAAAGUUGGGGGUGAAAUCCCAGGGCUCAACCCUGGAACUGCCUCCAAAACUAUCAGUCUAGAGUUCGAGAGAGGUGAGUGGAAUUCCGAGUGUAGAGGUGAAAUUCGUAGAUAUUCGGAGGAACACCAGUGGCGAAGGCGGCUCACUGGCUCGAUACUGACGCUGAGGUGCGAAAGUGUGGGGAGCAAACAGGAUUAGAUACCCUGGUAGUCCACACCGUAAACGAUGAAUGCCAGUCGUCGGGUAGCAUGCUAUUCGGUGACACACCUAACGGAU